UUCCUCUGAUGACUUCGUGUUAGUGCCAUGUGUCUGGGCCACUGAAACCUCAUGAUGGAACUGAGGAUCUGAGGAA
ensembl:snoRNA